rnacentral:tRNA from 1 species
AGCAGUGUGGUGCAGUGGUAAGAAGCAGGGCUCGUAACCAAAAGGUUGCUGGUUCGAUUCCCUGCUGGGACACUGCUG